GAGCCUGGUUAAUUGGUAAAGACAGCUGGCCCUGGUCAUCUUUGGAGCUGUGUAGGUGCGUUUUCCCCACAGCUGGCUGUGGUUCUUCACAAGGGAUUGAGCCACGUGGACAAUGAGGAUUCCUUUCGGGAUGUGCAGACCUGGAGCAGGCAGCACAGAGCAGGUUCUGUGGGAAAGGCAUACAGUCUUGAAUGUAAUUCCUCCUGAGCAGCCUGGUUAAUUUGAAGCAACAUAGUCAUAAAAACCAAGAAUGAGCUCCUUAAUUUAGAGAUUCUCUAAUCUGAAGCAAGGAAAAUAGACAGAGUGAAGAAGAAGCCUCAGAUCCAGAACCACCAGCAGGCACAGAAAAAAAAGAAAAAGAAGCUACAAGAAAUGCCUAUUUUCUUCAGUCAAUGUUCUAGAAAAGGGUGGCCUAGCAUCAGAAAAUAUUUUUGGCAAUACUUGUCUAUGUCAGUCAAAUAUGAACAGGAACAAUACUCCUCAGUUCUUGUAGAUUCAGCAGAGCUGAACAGAAAGUUGAUCUUCCAUACUCCCUUUCCUCCACCCUUGGAAGCAGGCGGCAUGCUGUAGUUAUUCCUCUGGAUAUUGUCAGCCUGGCUGAGCAGGAAGCUGGUCUUCUUUCCCUCUCCUGGCAGAGGUAGGUGACAGUGAUCCCAUUUUACUGCAGGUGAAGUGUUGGUGAGAUUGAGUAUGAAUCCUGCAUUCUAUACACAGCUGACGCAGGUAGUGUUUGGAUUGUUCUACCAUGAUUUUGUUAGCUGGGUCCAUCGGUGCAUAAAGCUGACCAUUCCCACCCUGCAGCAGUGAGACUUAAUGAGAUGGUCCAGAAGGGGGCUUCACCCUCUCUGCUUCUGUUCUGUUAUGUGAUUGGGGCCAACAGGGUAGCUGAAAAUACUCAACAACCUAGAACUCAUAUAAUACCUCAACAGGAGAACUGCCUGAAAAACUGAAAAAGAUUAAAUAGAUUGCAGGGUUUCAGAACAUAAUAUCCAAAAAGUCCAGAAUUUUUGGACUUAUCUGACAAUCACAUAAGAACCAGGAAAAUCAACAGAAACA